AAGUCUUAUACUAUACCAGCCAAAUCUAACAGCUAGAUACCAAUAUCUUUCGUCUUUUCACAUCAAUCAAACCAGCCAUUAAUGAUAGCAGGUUUUUAAAAUUUGAAAUGAAUUCUUUUCUACUACUUUUUGUUUCCCAACCAUUCAUUUCUCCUUUCACUUAGUCCGGAGGUUCUGGCCACAAGUUCUCCAGCACUUCACGAGCCGAUUCUGGGAUUCCUCCUAGCAGUUGAUAUCUCGGAGUGUAUGACUGCCUGUGAUGCAAGGAUCUCCCCCUCAUUUCGUAUGAGCAAAAUCGUAGCCGAUCUGGACGAUUGUCGGUAGAAUGCUGCGUCAAAAUGGAUUGCGACCCUUCCUCCUCUACAUACGUAUUGGGUAUUUCCAGUAGAUUGAAGAUUGGUUUCUGCUGAACCAGAGUCAACAACAAACAACCCGAAUCUGUUCAGUAGUCCCUUGACCGAAGAUCCAGGGCACUGUUGAAAAAUAUGGAUGCUGUUUUCCUCUUCUUGGCGGCACCUGGGGCAUUGAGCUUUCACCACAACCCUGUUGAGCCUGAGAUUGACAAGGGACGGAAAGAAGUUCCAUGAGAGUCUCCAUACUGUAAUUUGGAUUUUUGAUAGAAUGUAUAAUUUCCAUAGUUUACUAUAGAAGUUUUCAUUUUUGGCAUGUAAAUUAAACGUAUUAGGAUCCAAGUUAGUCUCAUGUAAUAGUUUAUAGGCAUUCCUAACAGAGAACUCCCCUGUCAACUCCCCUCUCCAUACUUGAAAAUCCUCGUGCGCUGCCUCUACUAGUGGAAUCCGCAAGAUUUUUUCCGCUAUAUGCAUUCGAAAGUUUCCAGCAGCCCUCUCGCGGACCAAACACUCUUCCAAGUGAGUGAAGGCUAAAAGUUUCUUCUUCCCUUACCAAGUUUGGGUCUACUUGUACUUGAAGAAUUAUUUCUUCUUCUUCAUCAAGGGUCAGGAAGAAAAUCAAAGAGUAACGUUGAAGACUAGUUUUAAAAAGAAGGCUACAGAGACGGCAGCCACCAAUCAAAUAAGGCACAAACAGAAACCUAAAGACUUGCUAUAGAAAGCAGACAGAGACGUGCUAGGGUAGCAGACUUAUGUGGAUACUUUGUUUUUUUGACUAUGGAACCUUUAAUGAUACAUAUUCCAUAAACAAAACAAACACUAUUUCGAAUGUUGCUUAAAAAUGAAAAUGGAUAAUACAAUUGGUAAUAAAAGUACCAUAAAAUUUAUUUUAUGAUAAGUCAUAUUGUCUUUUGUUUUCUUUCACUAAAUAAAUAAGUUAAUUAGUCCCUAUAUGUUAAAUCAAGUAAUAGCCGGUCACUUAUGUUAAAAGAAAAAUUCAUUCAUUCCUACUAGAUAGUGAUGUGUCAUGUGUACCUUAUGACAUACAUAGGCAAUUUUUUAACAAUAGAAAUUGAUGACAUUUUUAGCAAAAAGAUCAGUUUGCUUUUUAAUCUAAUGUAUAAGGACUAAUUUAUACAUAUUUUGAGUAAAUAAAAAAUACAAUUUAACUCUUAAUAUAAGAAUUUUCAAGAUACUUUUACCUACUAUUGGCAUAGAAUAGAUUUAUGUUUCUUGAAUGAAAAACAAUAAUAUUGUAACAUUUCUCGAAACAUGAAACUUAUUUUUAACCAUAAGUGCUUUUAGGGUAUUUAGACACUCAUAAGUGUUAAGGUGGUUUGUAUUUUAGCAUCGUCAAGAUUUUUGAAGCAGCCUUAGUACACUAAUAUAAAAGAAAAUAAUUUGAAGUCUCUAUAACUGCAAUUUUUUGGAGGAUUGAUUGUAACCACAUAAGAAAUAGAAAUUGAAGCUAUUAAGUUUAAGUGAUCAACCUAUGAUUAUUAAUCACAUUAGGUAAAAAUUACAAUUGAUGUGAACCUAAAAAGCUAAAUGCCAAAUUAAAUCUUACUUAUCAAUUAAAUGCUAAAUAUAGAGAACUAGAUACAUCUACGCCGUUUAUUGAUACCUUGAAGCAACGUAUGGAUGUGCGUCUUUCCAAUUUUAUUAUUUGACUAUUGACUUGUAGUGUAUUAAUAUUUAGACUUUUUGUAUUGAUAUUGAAUCAUCAAAAUAUCUUAAAACAUUUUAAUCACCUUAAAAACAUUUUGGUAUUGAUUCAAAAAGAAAAAAAAGAGAGGUUAAAACACAUUAUAAAUAUGUUUUGAGUAUUUUGCAAGUCUUUAAAAUGUAUUGAAAAUGUUUGAUCAUUAAAUGACUUAGUUAAUAAAAAUCAUCUCAAACGAUAUUAUAUCAAAAGCUUGAGAUAUCAAAACUAAUACUAUUCGUAAGAUCCAAGUAAACAACAACAAUAUAAUGAUCAUUUUGUAGUAAAAAUAAAGAGUUAAGAUUUAAGAAUGCUCAAUAAUAGAGUGUAAGCCCAAUAUUAUCGAAUCUAAGUGUAGAAUCUAAACAUCUUCUUUUCACUUCCAGUUUUAAUAUUAAGUGAAAAAAAAAUUAGAAACUAAAGAGAAAAUACUUUGAAUUGAAACUUGAGAAAAGGUCAUACAAAAUAAUUUAAAGAAAAUACAAAAGACAACAAAAGAAAUGUAAAAGAUACUCAAAACUAAUGAAAUCGUAAGCUAAAACAAUAGAAAAAUAAAACACAACUCUCUAUCAACCUUGUUUCUCUUCCAAAUAACUAAAAAACAAAAUCCCUUUUUAUGUUGAAGUAUCUAGAUAAGUGAUUUUACAAAUUGGCCCUCCAUGAAUCUUUAGUUUUAGCAGAGUUGGGACCUUGCAAAAUGAGUGUCUCGACUUUGCAUCAAAUUUCCUUAGUUUACCCUUUUGAAACCUUAUCAAAUUUGAGAUAGUGUCACAACCCUUUAUUGACGAAUUGUCUUCUUUUAUAGGCCAUAUAUGCAGUUCAUGACUUAAGCUUCAGAUUAGGUUUUGACUAAGUUAUUAGAUCUAGUGCAUUCAUUUUGUAAAUUUUUAUUUUUCGAACAAACUGGUUUAAUAAAAAUAACCAUUAAUUACAUUAAUACAUUUUAUAUAUUUUCCUUAAUGUUUUUGCACAAAAAUCAAAAUGAAAACAAGUAUUGACUCACUAAAAAUGCCGAGAGUGUUGCUCUUGUUAAAAUAUCCCCAAAGAGGGUUUCUUAACAUAAACAAUUCCUUCCUUGGGAGCUCAACGAAAUCAUUUCCCUUCCUCUUUGCAAGAUCUGACCUCUACUUUCCUAUAUCUUUUGGUCAACUUUUCUAGUUCAACCUAUUAAAUCCUAGGUUGAUCUUUUCCAUUGUUUUAAUAUAUGUAUAGGACUGUGUUCUAGUGCAGACUUAACUACACCUGUUUACCUUGUAUGGGAUCUACAAAUUCCAUGGCAAACCAGUGUAUGCAUAUACUAUGAAUACCCUUUAAUCUAAGGAGCCUCUUUUCUUUCCACCAUAUUUGGGUUGAAACAUAACCCUGGCGUCAGUCAUCAUUCUCAUGGUCUAUAUUCCUUGGUCACACCAACUUAUUUCUUGAAAUGACUUAUCACUCCAGUCAUCCGCGAACUCCAUUUUUACCCUUAACCUUCUUUAUGAACCGUGGGCUUUCCAAUUACAAUCCAUAUGUCUUUACAACAUGGCUGACUUCCCAUGUUACGGUCCUAGCUAACCACCCGGUGUUUAGUGUCCCAACAGAUCUAGCAUGCUGCCAUAGCUAAAUUAUGGUCUUACACAAAAUACAUGUGUUUAAUGUCCCGACAGGCUCAAUUGGUUGUCAUAGUUGUGCUAUGGUCUUACACCUCGUAAUCCUCGUGAUUACUAUUUCGACAAACUAUCCUGUGUUAUGUCCUGACAAAUCAUCUACGAUGCCAUAGUAUCUUUCUGCUAUGGUCUUACACCUCGUAAUCCUUUUGAUUACUGUCCCGAUGAACUAUUUUGUGUUUAAUGUCCUUGCGGAUCAUCUAUGAUGUCAUAGUAUCUUUCAACUAUGGUCUUACACAAUAUAACCUCGUGUUUACUGUCUCGGCAGACUACCAAAGGAUGUCAUAACGUCUUUUAGCUAUGGUCUUAAUCCUAUUUACCUUUUUGGUGCGCUUUCAUAUGAUGCCAUAUCAUCUUUUAGAUAUGGUAUUAUUCAUUUUAUCAUGAUUCCAUAGCAUCUUUCAACUAUGGUCUUACUCAUUUUAUCAUGACGCUAUAGCAUCUUUCAGCUAUGGUCUUACUCAUUUUAUGCAUAUAGCCUCCGAUCAGUCCCAUAGCCUAGCCAUGAUAUUUUAUUUACUUUUCCCAUUGCAACCCAACCAUUACUCUGUUCGUCAUCCUAACCUUGAUGCUUGAACACCGCAGGGUCCCCUCCGUAAAGCCUAGAGCUUCGCUCAUCACGGGUGCACUCAAUAACACUGUAUGAUGUUAUCUAACAGAAUCAACCCUUUUUCCCAUUCCUAACUUUAUCUAACCCACUAGUAAUUUCCCUUCCAAAUCAUGUAUACACUAAUUAUGCAUUCCUUACAAAACAUCUUUAUGCAAUGCCUACACCAGAUAACCAUUUAACAAUCAUCUACUAUUACGGUCAGCAUUAACAUAUAAAAUUUUUAGAGCAACAUUUAGCAACUAGAAGGCAAUGUACAGAAACUCAUCUGGUUUUCUUGCCUCAUUAGCUUAGCUUCUCCAAACACCAAUCCUUCUUCAUCCUAGCAGCUAAACAUGACAACCAUGUAUCAGUUAAACUAAAGGUGUUCAACCCUUAAGACCUAGAUUCCACAAUUAUCCAAAAACUUUGAGCUUUCUUACUCUACUUCUUUUCUUCAAUCCAAAAGUUCAGAGGGAUAAGGAAACGUACUAAUUCCCAAUCUUUCUACUUCUAGACUUAAAUCCGCAUGAAAACUGCAACAAGCAGAACUUUCUUCAACUACAUUAUAUUCUUCUUUAGGGUGACUGAAGAAGACGAUUCUUAACGAAAAAGGUUUGGGAAAUAGGAUUGAGAGGAAUUUUAUUCCCACACACGUCUAUAUAUACUCCCUCAGCACAGUCUCAAAGGCUAUUUCAGCUAUUCAAUCCUAAUCAUUAAGUCUUCCACUAUGGAACUAGCUAGUUAUAUCCUAACCGAACCAGGGUUGAAAUACAACUAAUCGAAUUUUGACCACUAAAAUUUUUAUUUACUCGGCGAGGCUCGAUAGUUUGCUAAUCCUCUUAAUUUAUUCAUAAUUUCCCUAGUUUUGGGAUUAAAUAACAAUGUUCGUGUUACAAGUAUGUAAUUAUGGAGAGCUCGGUCACGAUACUAUCGUGGAAUUACUUUGUGACUAAAUAAUUUUAUAAUUAAUAGGCGAAAAGUUGAAGCUUAAUUAUAAA